rnacentral:tRNA from 1 species
GCGGGCGUGGCGGAACUGGUAGACGCGCGAGAUUUAGGUUCUCGUGAGGAAACUCGUGGGGGUUCAAGUCCCUCCGCCCGCACCA